CCUACGGGAGGCAGCAGUGGGGAAUAUUGGACAAUGGGCGAAAGCCUGAUCCAGCAAUGCCGCGUGAGUGAUGAAGGCCUUCGGGUCGUAAAGCUCUUUUACCAGGGAUGAUAAUGACAGUACCUGGAGAAUAAGCUCCGGCUAACUCCGUGCCAGCAGCCGCGGUAAUACGGAGGGAGCUAGCGUUGUUCGGAAUUACUGGGCGUAAAGAGUACGUAGGCGGUUAUUCAAGUCAGAGGUGAAAGCCCGGGGCUCAACCCCGGAACUGCCUUUGAAACUAGAUAACUAGAGUCUUGGAGAGGUUAGUGGAAUUCCGAGUGUAGAGGUGAAAUUCGUAGAUAUUCGGAAGAACACCAGUGGCGAAGGCGACUAACUGGACAAGUACUGACGCUGAGGUACGAAAGCGUGGGGAGCAAACAGGAUUAGAUACCCUGGUAGUCCACGCCGUAAACGAUGAUAACUAGUUGUUCGGUCACUUGGUGACUGAGUGACGCAGCUAACGCAUUAAGUUAUCCGCCUGGGGAUACGGUCGCAAGNUUAAAACUUAAGGAAUUGACGGCUGNGAAGUGCGAGAGACGACGAGGAGAGG
rnacentral:rRNA from 1 species